rnacentral:lncRNA from 10 species
CAGAGAGGAGAGGAGGCUUGCUCCACAGUCUUACAGCUUGGAGCCUUGGCUCCCAGCCCCUCCACCCACCCUCCAUCUCUUGGGUUUCUUCUGGGGGACUCCCUAUUCCAUGGUAGUGGUUUGAAUGUCCACUCAUGGGGAAGCGAAGCAAAGACUCUACAAAAAAUACCCAGAGGCACUUCUGGACAACUAACUUCUCCUCCACACUUCCAUGCCUCUGUGAAAGCCACUCCUUCACAUGAAAUGACAUUGCCUGUUUGUACUGAAGACAGUUAAUUCCUCCAGGGCCUGGACCUAUUACUAGUUUCCUGGAGCCUGGACCAGAUCUAGGUAGAGGACGGCAGCAAGGCAGAAGAAAAGAUGGAAGUUAGUGCAGCAGCAUGGUCACUAACCUGAGCAUCCCACUAGACCUUCAUUCUCUUACUUCUUUGGGAAUGGGGGAAGGAAAAAUGGCUACAGUGGAGGUCACAGAGUAGAAGAGCCCAUCCUCUCCAAAGCCCAACUCUUCUACCUCUAUAACCACCCAGGGUGCCAUUUCCCCUCAACUAGCCAUAAUAGCUGACUCUGCUGAAAAGGCAGAAUCAUUGUCCCUAUCUUUCAGGUUUCUAUUUGAAUGUCAUAUCUUCCAGAAAGCCCUCUAAAAGCUAGUUCUUCCUUUACUUUGCUCUCUAAGUACUUUUCCCACAUUCUAAUUUAUUAUUUCAGUGAAUAUUUAUUCAUCACCCACUAUGCACUGUGUUCUAUACCAUGUACAGGCUCUGUGCUAGAAGUUGAGGCUACAAAGGCAAAUAAGAUGCCAUCAUUAUCUUCAAGUUUGCAGUCUUGUGAGAGGGGGGUUGAGGAAGUGGAGACACAGACACUAUGACAUUAGACAGUGAAAUUAGAAGGCAGCAUUGGGAGUUAAGGGAACAUCCCCUCCAAGCAAGAUUCCUAGGAGAAACAAGACUUGAAUUGCAUCUUGAAAGCAACCUUGGAAGAUGUUAUAAAGAUACCAUUUUGCAGAUGAUGAAACUGAGGUUCAGAGAGGCCCAAUAGUCGACACAAAACCAAGGUGGGAAUGUGAAUCUGUUUUUCAUUCCGUGACCCUGUGGUGCCCUUCUCUACAGCUGUUCAUCCACAGACCUUCAAAGGAUGUGCCACCAGUCUCAGCUAUGCAGUAAACAGUCCCGGCAAAGGAUCUUUGUGCAGAUUUGUGAUUAAAGGCAAACAAGAUAAUGAGUCCCAGGACCAGGGGAGAGCAGUCCGCACUCUCAUGCAUUCCUCAAUUCACAUGGCCCUGGAAACCUUUCAGUGUGGCAGUGGCUGUGGCAAUCACUCUGCCAACUGCAGAAUAAAGGGUCCUGUCUGGAAAUGCAAUUAUUUCCAAAUAAAAGGUUUUUAAAAGACACACACGAUAGCAUUUUUGGUUUUCAGAAACUGAUAUACCAAAUAAGGACAAAAAUUAACUUUGUAAAAAAUGAAGAUGAUGAAGACAAUGAAGAGAUGGUGAUGAUGAUGAUGGAUGAAGAUUGUGGUGAUAAGCAUGAUGAAUAUAUUGAGAAGGUGAAGAUGAUGAAGAUGAAGAUGGUGAUGAUGAUGGUAGCAGCAACCACCAUUUUCUGAGCACAUAAAUGUGCCACUCACUAUGUUGGCUACUCUAUAGACAUUAUCUCUAAUUAUUACAAUAACCCUGUAAGACAAAGUUUAGCACCUCCAUUUAACACAUGAGAAACUGAAGCUCAGAGAAGUGAAGUAACCUGCCUGAGGUCACAACCUUAGGCAUGAAAAAGGAUUGACAGAGAUUACUGCUUGAAUUAUUACUCCAAAUCCUGUGCCUCUAACCACUAACAUAACCACUUCAUUUGUUUACUCCUUCAUUUAUUUAAAAAAUUUAUUCAUCUAUUGAAUGAAUGUUUACUUGGUCUCAGAUAUACCUAUGAUACCUGCUAGACCUUCCUAAUCCCCAUUUGUCAAGAAAAUGCCACCACCCUCACAUUAGGGAUAAAUGAAAAUGAGGGUGAAUUAUAUUCAAAUCAAGGUUUAUCAGCCUGGCGUGGUGGCUCAUGCCUGUAAUCCCAGCACUUUGGGAGGCUGAGGUGGGAGGAUCACCUGAG